rnacentral:lncRNA from 1 species
AUGACCCACCAAACACAUGCCUACCAUAUAGUUAAUCCCAGCCCCUGACCGCUAACAGGAGCUCUCUCGGCUCUCCUAAUAACAUCUGGCCUGGCCAUACAAUUUCACUUUAAUUCUAUAAUUCUUUUAACCCUAAGCCUAGUAACCAACACACUAACUAUAUAUCAAUGAUGAUGUGAUAUUGUCCGAGAAAGUACAUUUCAAGGCCACCAUAUGACAAUUGUCCAAAAAGGUCUCUGAUAUGAAAUGCUUCUGUUUAUUAUCUCAGAGGUGUUUUUCUUUACCGGUUUCUUCUGGGCAUUCUACCACUCUAGAGCUUAGCGCCAACUCCAGAAUUAGGGGGACACUGACCUCCAACAGGCAUUCUUUCCCGUAACCCUUUAGAAGUACCUCUCCUCAAUACGUCUGGGUUACUCGCAUCAGAAGUUUCCAUUACUUGAGUUCAGCACAGCCUGAUAGAAAGUAGUCGAAGGCAAAUAAUUCAAGCAUUAUCCAUCACGAUUACCUUAGGUAUCUGCUUCACUCUUCUACAAAUCUCAGACUAUUUCAAGACCCCUUUUACUAUCUCAGAUGGAAUUUAUGACUCAACAUUCUUUAUAGCCACAGGCUUCCACGGACUUCAUGUUAUUAUUGGAUCAACAUUUCUCACUAUCUACCUCCUCCGCCAAUUAAAAUAUCACUUUACAUCCAACCACCACUUUGGCUUUAAAGCCGCCGCCGGAUAUUGACACUUCGUAGAUGUAGUCUGAUUAUUCUUAUAUGUCUCUAUCUACUGAUGAGGG